rnacentral:rRNA from 1 species
GGAAUUUUGGACAAUGGGCGCAAGCCUGAUCCAGCAAUGCCGCGUGCAGGAUGAAGGCCUUCGGGUUGUAAACUGCUUUUGUACGGAACGAAACGGUCUGCCCUAAUACGGUGGGCUAAUGACGGUACCGUAAGAAUAAGCACCGGCUAACUACGUGCCAGCAGCCGCGGUAAUACGUAGGGUGCGAGCGUUAAUCGGAAUUACUGGGCGUAAAGCGUGCGCAGGCGGUUAUAUAAGACAGAUGUGAAAUCCCCGGGCUCAACCUGGGAACUGCAUUUGUGACUGUAUAGCUAGAGUACGGUAGAGGGGGAUGGAAUUCCGCGUGUAGCAGUGAAAUGCGUAGAUAUGCGGAGGAACACCGAUGGCGAAGGCAAUCCCCUGGACCUGUACUGACGCUCAUGCACGAAAGCGUGGGGAGCAAACAGGAUUAGAUACCCUAG